GUUGCUCAUCCAGUUGGGCCAAUCACUCGAGCCCGUGCGAGAGAAUUAAACUUCAUCAUGCUGUUAAGGAACGAAGGCCCAUCGGAAUAAGAAGAUGGCCCAACAGGGCAGCCCAGGUGGGGCGCCUAGGGUUGGGCGCCGUGACCCCUUUGGACUCCAGGGGCUGCGCCCCCUUUAUUUAGUCCGAGUCCUUUUUGUUUACGACUUGAGUUUUGUUUUACAUCUAGCUUUAGCUACUCUUGAACACGCGCAAAUACGCGCUGUCCUUGUGAUUCAGAACUCCACUUUCGAGUGAUAUUUAGAUUGCUC
rnacentral:lncRNA from 1 species